UCAGGUGUGUUUGCGGCAAAUGUGCGCCGACGUCGACGGCACGGAAAUGCCUUUGUUGCCGCGAAACGAGACGUUACUGAAGCAGCGCAGCGGUUGCAUUUCAAGAAGUCAGUACUUUGAAAUACUGUGGCUGGACACUGAGGAAAUGUCCUCAAAGCAUGUGCUGUACAUGUCAUAAGGCAAAACUUUCCUUCUGACGCAUACAAACGUUUUUGCCUUUUGACGCGUGAUGCAGUGCUUGUGGCAGCAUUGAAUGUCUGCCAUUUUGACAGAGGUACACUGGAUGGUUUGGUCGUGAACUCUGCAAGAUCACAACAGUAUCCCUUUCAUGCACAAUAGGGGUCUGCCAUAUACCCUUCUGGAGUAACCAGACGCCCACUAUACAGUAAAUUACAUUCUACAGACAUCAAAGCGUUGCACAGGUGUUUGCUACAAACACGUUCCAGUCCAUAAGCUCUAAGAGAACAUAGGCUAUCACCUUGCCUAUCCAACAUCACAUGAGUUCAUGACUCCUUCAUCAGUAUAAGAAGUGCCUCAGGUGGGGACAUGCCAAUGUCUUCAACAGAGGCUCCUCUAUCAUUGACUCCGGAAGCAUGUGAAGUAAAAUUUUAGACCUUUUCUGUGCGCAUCCAUCUUUGUGACCCUUUCUCAAUUUCUCAUUAUAAAUUUCUCAUGUUUUCCCUCGUACCAGUCCAAUUGCAGUCAUUGGUGCUGGCUCAGGGCCUUUGCAGACCGCUACUAUUUCACUGUAGCUCACAUCUUUGCAAGUUGUCGAUGUUUCACUGAGGAGAUGAUCUACAUCUU